rnacentral:lncRNA from 1 species
GUGAUUCCACAGGCUUUCUUGAACGGUUGCGGCCACGGUGCAUGUGGCGCUCACAGUACUUGGAGUCUGGGUAUGCUUCCUUCGAGCACCUCCACUUUUUUCCAUCAGUCCUCCUACAUCUUCCUGGCUCCGGGUCCACCUUCUUCCCAUAGAAGGAACAGUAACUCACUGUAGGAAUAGGGUGGUGAAAGAAAUUAUUAGAAGAAAGAGAGUGAAAGCUGGAAUGAAUAGGAUGGACAAGAUCAGGUGGAACAGGAAGACCAGCAACCAUAUAUUUAAAGAUCAAAGCUUGAUGUUCAAGUUCCUGCCACUGAGACACUGUGAAUGGUGAUGAUUUACUGUAACCCAUCAUCAUCCCUACACCUCCUCCGUUACUACUGCCACCCCCAGAGCUAUUCAUACUUUUUCUAACUGCUUUGUACUGUAACUCUCAGUGAGUGAGUGAAUCAAUAGUGUAUCUAUCUAUCUAUCUAGCUAACACAACAUACACUUGUAGUUGUUGUUCAGUCAGAGACCAGACUCAGAUCGAGCUUUGUCGGAAGGAACCAUUUGGUUUGUUUUGGUUUGGUGUUGAUUGUG